UGGGGAAUUUUGGACAAUGGGCGAAAGCCUGAUCCAGCAAUGCCGCGUGUGUGAAGAAGGCCUUCGGGUUGUAAAGCACUUUUGUCCGGAAAGAAAUCCUCUGGGUUAAUACCUCGGGGGGAUGACGGUACCGGAAGAAUAAGCACCGGCUAACUACGUGCCAGCAGCCGCGGUAAUACGUAGGGUGCAAGCGUUAAUCGGAAUUACUGGGCGUAAAGCGUGCGCAGGCGGUUUUGUAAGACGGAUGUGAAAUCCCCGGGCUUAACCUGGGAACUGCAUUCGUGACUGCAAGGCUAGAGUAUGGCAGAGGGGGGUAGAAUUCCACGUGUAGCAGUGAAAUGCGUAGAGAUGUGGAGGAAUACCGAUGGCGAAGGCAGCCCCCUGGGCCAAUACUGACGCUCAUGCACGAAAGCGUGGGGAGCAAACAGGAUUAGAUACCCUGGUAGUCCACGCCCUAAACGAUGUCAACUAGUUGUUGGGGAUUCAUUUCCUAGUAACGUAGCUAACGCGUGAAGUUGACCGCCUGGGGAGUACGGUCGCAAGAUUAAAACUCAAAUGAAUUGACGGGG
rnacentral:rRNA from 1 species